rnacentral:rRNA from 1 species
CUGGCUCAGAUUGAACGCUGGCGGCAGGCCUAACACAUGCAAGUCGAACGGUAACAGGAAGCAGCUUGCUUCUUUGCUGACGAGUGGCGGACGGGUGAGUAAUGUCUGGGAAACUGCCUGAUGGAGGGGGAUAACUACUGGAAACGGUAGCUAAUACCGCAUAACGUCGCAAGACCAAAGAGGGGGACCUUCGGGCCUCUUGCCAUCGGAUGUGCCCAGAUGGGAUUAGCUUGUUGGUGGGGUAACGGCUCACCAGGCGACGAUCCCUAGCUGGUCUGAGAGGAUGACCAGCCACACUGGAACUGAGACACGGUCCAGACUCCUACGGGAGGCAGCAGUGGGGAAUAUUGCACAAUGGGCGCAAGCCUGAUGCAGCCAUGCCGCGUGUAUGAAGAAGGCCUUCGGGUUGUAAAGUACUUUCAGCGGGGAGGAAGGGAGUAAAGUUAAUACCUUUGCUCAUUGACGUUACCCGCAGAAGAAGCACCGGCUAACUCCGUGCCAGCAGCCGCGGUAAUACGGAGGGUGCAAGCGUUAAUCGGAAUUACUGGGCGUAAAGCGCACGCAGGCGGUUUGUUAAGUCAGAUGUGAAAUCCCCGGGCUCAACCUGGGAACUGCAUCUGAUACUGGCAAGCUUGAGUCUCGUAGAGGGGGGUAGAAUUCCAGGUGUAGCGGUGAAAU